rnacentral:rRNA from 1 species
UACGGAGGGGACUAGCGUUGUUCGGAAUUACUGGGCGUAAAGCGCGCGUAGGCGGAUUUGCAAGUCGGGGGUGAAAUCCCGAGGCUCAACCUCGGAACUGCCUUCGAUACUGCAAAUCUCGAGUCCGGAAGAGGUGAGUGGAAUUCCUAGUGUAGAGGUGAAAUUCGUAGAUAUUCGCAAGAACACCAGUGGCGAAGGCGGCUCACUGGCCCGGUACUGACGCUGAGGUGCGAAAGCGUGGGGAGCAAACAGG